UACGCUGAUGCAAAACCCUAGUGAUAAUUUCAAAAGAUGUUAUUGUCUUUCAAUGGCUUCCUACUUUAACUCUCUCUUUUUUCAUGAGCGUUCGACAUCUAUCAGAAAGUCUUCAUAAUAGCAUAGCAUGUGAAUCCUCUUUCGAGAAAAGAAAAAGAAGAGAAGACUAAAACUGUCUUUGUCGUGCAAAUUCGUUGAGGAGUGAGAGUAGAACCUGAAAUCAAAAGAAAA
rnacentral:lncRNA from 1 species